rnacentral:rRNA from 1 species
UACAGAGGUCUCAAGCGUUUGUCCGGAUUUACUGGGCGUAAAGAGCGCGCAGGCGGUCGUCCAAGUCGCGUGUGAAAGCCCCCCGGCUCAACUGGGGAGGGUCACGCGAUACUGGUCGACUCGAAGGCAGGAGAGGGUAGUGGAAUUCCCGGUGUAGUGGUGAAAUGCGCAGAUAUCAGGAGGAACACCGGUGGCGAAGGCGGGUCUCUGGGCCGUAACUGACGCUGGAGGAGCGGAAAGCGUGGGGAGCGAACAGG